GGGUCGAUUGUGGAAGACUAGGCA
rnacentral:miRNA from 1 species